AUCUGGUUGAUCCUGCCAGAGGCUACCGCUAUUGGAGUUCGAUUAAGCCAUGCGAGUCCAGAGCUUUCGGAGCUCGGCGUACCGCUCAGUAACACGUGGGUAACCUAACCUAUGCAGGGGAAUAACCUCGGGAAACUGAGUAUAAUGCCCCAUAGUCCACUACGCCUGGAACGGUGAGUGGAUCAAAGCUCAGGCGGCAUAGGAUGGGCCUGCGGCGUAUCAGGUUGUAGGGGGUGUAAAGUACCCUCUAGCCAUCUACGCGUACGGGUGUUGGGAGACAUAGCCCGGAGAUGGAUUCUGAGACACGAAUCCAGACCCUACGGGGUGCAGCAGGCGCGAAAACUUGACAAUGCGAGCAAUCGUGAUCAGGGAACUCCAAGUGGCUGGGGUAAGACCCAGUCUUUUCAUAACUCUUCAAAGGUUGUAGAAUAAGGGGUGGGUAAGGACGGUGCCAGCCGCCGCGGUAAUACCGGCGCCUCAAGUGGUAGUCGCUUUUAUUGGGCCUAAAACGUCCGUAGCCGGUUUGGUACAUUCGUGGGUAAAUCA
rnacentral:rRNA from 1 species